rnacentral:rRNA from 1 species
AUGAACGCUUGCGGCGUGCCUAAUCCCUGCCAGUCGCGCGAACAGACGAGGAGCUUGCUCCUCUGACGUUAGCGGCGAACGGGUGAGUAACACGUGGAUAACCUACCUAUAAGACUGGGAUAACUUCGGGAAACCGGAGCUAAUACCGGAUAAUAUAUUGAACCGCAUGGUUCAAUAGUGAAAGACGGUUUUGCUGUCACUUAUAGAUGGAUCCGCGCCGCAUUAGCUAGUUGGUAAGGUAACGGCUUACCAAGGCAACGAUGCGUAGCCGACCUGAGAGGGUGAUCGGCCACACUGGAACUGAGACACGGUCCAGACUCCUACGGGAGGCAGCAGUAGGGAAUCUUCCGCAAUGGGCGAAAGCCUGACGGAGCAACGCCGCGUGAGUGAUGAAGGUCUUCGGAUCGUAAAACUCUGUUAUUAGGGAAGAACAAAUGUGUAAGUAACUAUGCACGUCUUGACGGUACCUAAUCAGAAAGCCACGGCUAACUACGUG